rnacentral:rRNA from 1 species
CUCCUUCGACGUUAGCGGCGGACGGGUGAGUAACACGUGGGUAACCUACCUAUAAGACUGGGAUAACUUCGGGAAACCGGAGCUAAUACCGGAUAAUAUUUCGAACCGCAUGGUUCGAUAGUGAAAGGUGGUUUUGCUAUCACUUAUAGAUGGACCCGCGCCGUAUUAGCUAGUUGGUAAGGUAACGGCUUACCAAGGCGACGAUACGUAGCCGACCUGAGAGGGUGAUCGGCCACACUGGAACUGAGACACGGUCCAGACUCCUACGGGAGGCAGCAGUU